AAGGCAUCAGCUAUGUUGUGGAAGAACUGUUCCAGGAGUCCCUGGGGAUGCGUCCAGAAGCCGCCCAUGUCCUGGUCCUGAUCACCGACGGCAGGGCCCAGGAUAACGUGGUGCCACCUUCACGAAUUGCACGUGCUCUUGGUCAGUGUGUGUUUUAAACCUCCCACGUGUCUUGCGCGGAGCAUCACUUCAGCUCUCUGUGCUUUCUCUAGGAGUCAGCGUCCUGGCGGUGGGAGUGUCGAACGCAGACAUCGAGGAGCUGCAUAGAAUAGCUGCGCCUGCCGGCUACAAGAACAUCUUCUACUCGCCGACCUUCGACGACUUCCCCUCCGUCGAGAGAGACUUCAUCAGCAGCCUCUGCAGCGAGGAGCUCCUCUCUGAAUUCAAAGUCGAGGCAAGAGAGGAAAAUGUUUCACUCACAACAUAGCAGAUGCACCAUGUUUAGUUGUGGUGUCCAACGAGCAGGUUAUUACUGUCCAAGCACACGUGUCCUCCACCUCACGUCAGAGUCGUGUCCUUAUUUCGUGACUCGUGUCACGACGUGCCCGUCCAGUCCCUAAUGAGUCCCUUCCCCCCUCGCUUCACACUUUCAGUCCUCUCUGUUGGACGCUCCCACUGAAAGCCCAGACGAGCUGCUCCAGCCCCGGGGCCCGUGUCCCUCCCGGUGCGCGAAGGUGGGUUCCAGCGUGACUCAUCGGUCGUCGUGAGAGAAACAACUCAGCGGCAGAAUAUAGACGAUGAUCAAUAUGAUCUUUGAUUUUUGUCACCUUUUCUUGCAUCUUUCAGGGCCAAAAAGGGGAAAAGGUGGGCCGAUGCAACAGUUUGUAGGUCUGCAGUAAUGAAUCCAAAUGUCUGUUUAUUUGUUUGUUGCUCUCAUCCCGUCAGGGAGAUGGGUUCGGUCUUGGAAGUCUGGUAAGUUGUACGAUGCUUCCACACACUCACAGCCUCGGUGUCCACAUGUCUUACUGUUAUUAUUAAAAGUGUAUUUUUCUUUUAGAGAUUCAGGCAAAAGGGUGGACCGUAUGAUCCUUUUGAUUCCUUUAAAGGACAACCAGGAGAAAGAGGGCCUCCUGGAACAGAUGGUGUCCCUGGGUUGCCAGGGCGACCAGGGAGAACUGGACCUCCAGGUCCUGGCGGCCAGCGGGUAACUGAAUUCCUAAACACGUAAAUCUCCCUCUGAUGUGGUUACUCUUCA
rnacentral:lncRNA from 1 species